CCUACGGGGGGCAGCAGUGGGGAAUAUUGGGCAAUGGGCGCAAGCCUGACCCAGCAACGCCGCGUGAAGGAAGAAGGCUUUCGGGUUGUAAACUUCUUUUAUCAGGGACGAAGCAAGUGACGGUACCUGAUGAAUAAGCCACGGCUAACUACGUGCCAGCAGCCGCGGUAAUACGUAGGUGGCAAGCGUUAACCGGCUUUACUGGGUGUAAAGGGCGUGUAGGCGGGAGUGCAAGUCAGAGGUGAAAACUAUGGGCUCAACCCAUAGCCUGCAUUUGAAACUGUACUUCUUGUGUGCUGGAGAGCCCAUCGCCUUUCCGUGUGUAGCGGUGCAAUGCGUAGCUAUCCGGAGGAACCCCAGUGGCGCAGGCGGAUUGCUGGACCGUAACUGCCGCUGCGGCGC
rnacentral:rRNA from 1 species